rnacentral:misc_RNA from 1 species
GAAAUGCGAUAAGUAGUGUGAAUUGCAGAAUUCAGUGAAUCAUCGAAUCUUUGAACGCACAUUGCGCCCCUUGGUAUUCCAUGGGGCAUGCCUGUUCGAGCGUCAUUUGUACCCUCAAGCUCUGCUUGGUGUUGGGUGUUUGUCCCGUCUCCGCGCGUGGACUCGCCCCAAAGUGAUUGGCAGCCGGCGUACUGGUCCCGGAGCGCAGCACAUGUCGCGCAAACGAGUGCCUUGGUACGGCGGCGUCCAUAAGCCCCUCUCUCACGCUCUUGACCUCGGAUCAGGUAGAGAUACCCGCUGAACGUAAGC